AAAUAAAUGUCUAGGAGCUCAAUCAAAAACAAUAAUUCUGGACUCAACAGCAAAAAGGCCAAAAGUUUAUGGGCUUAAAAAUGGUUUUUCCUUCACUGUUAGCAAAAUAGAUAUUUUUUAUUCUACGGUACAUCACAUUUCAUGACUAAUAACUUCUGUUAACUCCUAUCAUGGACAGUAAUACCUGCUGUUUGACUAUGAAGGUGGUGACUUGGCAAAAU
rnacentral:misc_RNA from 1 species